ACUCCUACGGGAGGCAGCAGUGGGAAUCUUGGACAAUGGGGCAACCCUGAUCCAGCCAUGCCGCGUGAGUGAUGAAGGCCUUAGGGUCGUAAAGCUCUUUCGCCUGUGAAGAUAAUGACGGUAGCAGGUAAAGAAACCCGCGUACAUCCGUGCCAGCAGCCGCGGUAAUACGGAGGGGGUUAGCGUUGUUCGGAAUUACUGGGCGUAAAGCGCACGUAGGCGGAUCGGAAAGUUGGGGGUG
rnacentral:rRNA from 1 species